rnacentral:tRNA from 1 species
CCGCCUAUAGCUCAGUUGGUAGAGCAUCCGACUCUUAAUCGGCAGGUCGUAGGUUCGAAUCCUACUGGGCGGACAA